rnacentral:rRNA from 1 species
CCUACGGGAGGCAGCAGUGGGGAAUAUUGCACAAUGGGGGAAACCCUGAUGCAGCGACGCCGCGUGAGUGAAGAAGUAAUUCGUUAUGUAAAGCUCUAUCAGCAGGGAAGAAAAUGACGGUACCUGAGUCAGAAGCCCCGGCUAACUACGUGCCAGCAGCCGCGGUAAUACGUAGGGGGCAAGCGUUAUCCGGAUUUACUGGGUGUAAAGGGAGCGUAGACGGCAGUGCAAGUCUGGAGUGAAAGGCGGGGGCUCAACCCCCGGACUGCUGUGGAAACUGUACGGCUGGAGUGCAGGAGAGGUAAGUGGAAUGCCUAGUGUAGCGGUGAAAUGCGUAGAUAUUAGGAGGAACACCAGUGGCGAAGGCGGCUUACUGGACUGUAACUGACGUUGAGGCUCGAAAGCGUGGGGAGCAAACAGGAUUAGAUACCCGAGUAGUC